GUUAAGGAGAAUGUUGUCUGGUUCGUGACCAUAUAUCCUUCAUCAUAUAAAUGAUCUCGGACCAGGCUUCAUUCCCCUCAAC
rfam:Solanum tuberosum cultivar DM 1-3 516 R44 scf00214_119, whole genome shotgun sequence.